rnacentral:tRNA from 4 species
GGGUUGUUAGCUCAGUUGGUAGAGCGCUUCGUUUACACCGAAGAUGUCGGCGGUUCGAGCCCGUCACGACCCACCA